UUCAAGGUCAUCUUGUUGGGUGAGAGGCCAUCCUGUAUUUUCUGGCUUACAACCAGAAAAGAAGAGUAUGAUUGUAAUGUAAAUGUCAAUGUUGUGAAGUGUUUGUGCAUGCCGAUGGGAGCACCGGGAGAUUUUUUAUAGAAUAUGGUUAAAAUGGUAUCAGUAAACACUCAGGGCCUAAAUUUACGAGCAAAAAAAUCUCUGGUCUAUGAUUUUUUUAAGAAUCAAAAUGUAGAGGUUGGGUUCUUACAAGAGACUUAUUGGAAGUUGAUAGACAAUGU